GUUGAAAUAUAACUGUGACCAGCCUAUCUUAUACGGUAAUGAAAUCUGUCACAACUUGAACAUCAAAAGUGGUCACAGGCUAUAAAGGAACGGUGUUUGCGGGAGCAGUAGGGACGAGAAAUGUCAGACACUCGAGGCUGUGUCUUUGAGACGCUGUAGUCAAGAGGAUCAGAAAGGAGAGGAAGGAAGAGAUUGUCCUGCUGACAGCUGCCCGAGGAUAGGAGCGGAGGACAACUUCCACAGUAAGAAAGACCAAGACCUAAUUGCCUGUACAACUCUAUUGAGUGACCUCAAGGAACGACACAGAUCAAUCCACUUCCUAGAGAGAAACUGCCACCGUGGAGAGAGUAUAUCCACACUCUGGAGCUACUGCUGGCUGUCUAAGAAGUUUCCCCCCUGCCCUGCCAAGGUUUGCAACGUUCGUUACCAAUAUGUAUGACCUAUGUCAGAUCUAGCCCCCUGUGAGAGCUCUGGAAGUGAUCAGAGGAGAUGUGGAAGAGCUGUCCUAAGAUAUUUCACAUGCUGAAUAUGAAGAUCAGUCUCCAGUAUCACAGGGUGCACCACUGACUCACACCAGAGCAUGGCUUACUCGUUUCAAAGGAGCAGAAGUACAGAAAGAAAGAGUUCAACUAAGUUAUGCACACACUUUUUCCCCCUUCUCAUAGAAUUUUCUCUGCACUCACUUUCCAAUGUCCCCGUUGUCUUCUCUAGCUCCACUUCCAGCAGUCUCAGGUGCACUUCUGUGCAGUUUCACAGUGUUGUGCUUUUCUUUAAAUCAGUGGUAGGUUGGAGAGCCUGCGAUAGAAGUAGAUGGUAUCUAGUGGGCAUCCUGUUUAGUAACAGGAUAUUCCUGCUCUGGACAUCCAGAUAUGGUUCUGGAGUAGACAUUUUCAGCACAAGAUUGAUCCCACAUCUGUUCCUUCUUGUCUUAUCUAAUGCCCAAGGUGUUUUCCAAGAUAAAAGCAUCAUUAUCAAAGAGUGCUUCCCAGAGUAAGAGGAAGCCUAUUUAUGUUUCUUAUUACCUUGUAAACGAAGGUUACGUGAGGUGAGAUCCUUGCAGAAUCAGAGUGGGAAAGCUGAUAAGGGCACAUUGUGGAUGUCCAUGGCCAGCAGGCACGAGAGGCAGUGUGGGCCCCCCACCCUGAUACACAGGAUGCUGUGCCUUGAAUCAUCCCAGGCUGUUUCCAACACACUCUCCCAAACCAGACUAAAGAGUUCCUGUUCCAGAAGUGAAAGAGGUCCAUGGAAUUUAAGGCUGUG
ensembl:lncRNA